rnacentral:rRNA from 1 species
UAGUCCACACCGUAAACGAUGAAUGCCAGUCGUCGGAUAGCAUGCUAUUCGGUGACACACCUAACGGAUUAAGCAUUCCGCCUGGGGAGUACGGUCGCAAGAUUAAAACUCAAAGGAAUUGACGGGGACCCGCACAAGCGGUGGAGCAUGUUGUUUAAUUCGAAGCAACGCGAAGAACCUUACCUACACUUGACAUACUCGUCGGGACUUUCAGAGAUGAUUGUCUUCGGUUCGGCCGGACGAUGUACAGGUGCUGCACGGCUGUCGUCAGCUCGUGUCGUGAGAUGUUUGGUUAAGUCCAGCAACGAGCGCAACCCCUAUCGUAUGUUACCAGCAUUUAGUUGGGGACUCAUGCGAGACUGCCGGUAACAAACCGGAGGAAGGUAAGGAUGACGUCAAGUCAGCAUGCCCCUUACGCUCUGGGCUACACACGUGCUACAAUGGUCGUGACAAAGAGUUGCUAGUCUGCGAAGGCAAGCCAAAUCUCAUAAAAACCGGUCUAC